GUGCAGUGAUUGGGUGAGUCUGGAGGCUGUAGGGUUCUCACUGGGUGUGGUUUUGAAAGGAUUCCUCUCUAAACCAGUCAACUCUCUCUUCACCAAUCUCCUGGAACUGGCCAAAACUCUCUGCACUAGCCCUGCUAACACACUCGCUUUCUACCAACUCGUAUUUCUCCUGACACUGGAAUUCUCUUAUCAAAGGCUCUCGAAUAUACUGGUCUUCCUACACCAGCUGCAAGAGCUUGCUGUGAAGGAGAAAGGUCUUGAGGCACAUCACAGAGUGGUGCUACAUGCUACAGUGGCGGGUAUAUAGCGUCCAAGAUUAGUCGAAACGAGGUACUCAAGACACACAUCGAUGGAGUGAUUGCUAAGAGGAGGGAGACAGCUCCGAAGGCUAUGGUGGGACAUUCUUCUAGAGGGUUUGUGUGUGUUAUGUCACUGUGAUCGACCCACCCCAUGCUGGAGGUUGAUGUGAGUUGAGACUGAGAAUGAUGCCCUGUCAGUAAUGAACCCGAACACUCACUCAUGCCUUCAAGAAGUUUAGUCGAUUAUGCCUUGCUGCUUGCCUCAAUGGAAGUAUGUGUGGCCUUUAAAAGCUGUAGCUGGUCUAAACCUUCAAUUUGACUGGUAAAGGGUCACAGUAGGACACACAAAAGAUGAGUUGUGUCUGGAGAAAGUAUAUAGUAAACUUAUCAUCUUUAAAGGUGGUGUAGAAACGUAGAUGGAAGCAGUAGCCAACAGACAAUGGCUGAACAGGAGAAUAAGCAGUUAAGAUCACCUGAAAAAAAAAAGAGUACAAAGUCAACAAUGCUUCCAGAGCCAAUCCAGUUUCAAGUGUCAAGCAGCUCAGCAAAACUAGUACUUCAAAGCUCUCACAAUCUACCACACAAUCCAAUAUCAACAUUGAUCAAUAUUGACAAGUUAAUAGCAUGCUCCUUUGUUGUUGUAAUAUUUACAACAAUUUGACCUGUAAAGGGUUAUGGUCCCACUAUGUACAUGCACUGCCUAUGGCCCCACUAUGUACGUGCACUGCCUAUGCCCCCACUAUGUACAUGCACUGCCUAUGGCCCCACUAUGUACGUGCACUGCCUAUGCCCCCACUAUGUACGUGCACUGCCUAUGGUCCCACUAUGUACGUGCACUGCCUAUGACCCCACUAUGUACGUGCACUGCCUAUGGUCCCACUAUGUACGUGCACUGCCUAUGGUCCCACUAUGUACGUGCACUGCCUAUGGCCCCACUGUGUACGUGCACUGCCUAUGGUCCCACUGUGUACGUGCACUGCCUAUGGUCCCACUGUGUACGUGCACUGCCUAUGGUCCCACUGUGUACGUGCACUGCCUAUGGUCCCACUGUGUACGUGCACUGCCUAUGGCCCCACUGUGUACGUGCACUGCCUAUGGCUCCACUGUGUACGUGCACUGCCUAUGGCCCCACUGUGUACGUGCACUGCCUAUGGCCCCACUGUAGUUAGCUCUGCACUAGAACGCUAGCUAUUGGUAGCUGCAAGAGUGAGAAGAGAGCUGCAAGGCUCUGCUAAUGCAGCCAUUAAUUUUAGACUUGAACUUUUGGCAUCGCUCGUUUUUAACAACAAUCGUGGUCGAUCAUUACCCACUCCUUGAGUUUGCAUGCAGCAAAAUUAAUUGUUCAUCAUGUCAUGUGUAUAAAAGCUAUUAGACUCUAGUAGCUUUAUGUUAUGUAGCUUUGGCAUCUCCACCGAGGCAUCAGCACCCGCGGUGCUUUCAUUUGUAUAUUAGUUUCCAUAUAAAAAUUAUACCACUAAGAGUAGAUUGUGAGAGCAUUUACUAUAAUAUUGAUGGCCACCUUAUAGCGGGUAAUUUUUGAGGGUCUCGCAGAUUAGCCAUUUUUGUAACCCUCAAAAAGUACCCAUUUAACAUACAAGUGCUAGAAGCCAUCAUUGCUUAGGACCACAUGUUGUUUGCAUAGCAACAUUGUAUGGUAUUUGUUGUUUUGUGGUAAUGCAGUGAGCAAACAGCUGUACCACUACCACAUGGUGGUUGUAUUACCUGUGUGUGUGUGUACAUGAUCGACCACCAUGCAAUUUGAGUUUGCAUGCAGCAAAAAUGCAAAUAUAUUCAUCAUGAUAAUGUGUGUAGCUUUAUGUUAUGUAGUUUUGCACCUUCACCGAGGCAUCAGUACCCGCGGUGCUUUCAUUAAUACAUGUACCUGCAAUUAUAUAACUACUGUACCACUACCACGAUGUUGUGAUGGUUGUAUCUGUAUACCUGUGUGUGUGUA